rnacentral:rRNA from 1 species
GACGAACGCUGGCGGCGUGCCUAAUACAUGCAAGUAGAACGCUGAAGGAGGAGCUUGCUUCUCUGGAUGAGUUGCGAACGGGUGAGUAACGCGUAGGUAACCUGCCUGGUAGCGGGGGAUAACUAUUGGAAACGAUAGCUAAUACCGCAUAACAGUAGAUAUCGCAUGAUAUCUACUUGAAAGGUGCAAUUGCAUCACUACCAGAUGGACCUGCGUUGUAUUAGCUAGUUGGUGAGGUAACGGCUCACCAAGGCGACGAUACAUAGCCGACCUGAGAGGGUGAUCGGCCACACUGGGACUGAGACAAGGCCCAGACUCCUACGGGAGGCAGCAGUAGGGAAUCUUCGGCAAUGGACGGAAGUCUGACCGAGCAACGCCGCGUGAGUGAAGAAGGUUUUCGGAUCGUAAAGCUCUGUUGUAAGAGAAGAAAGAGUGUGAGAGUGGAAAGUUCACACUGUGACGGUAUCUUACCAGAAAGGGACGGCUAACUACGUG